rnacentral:rRNA from 1 species
UGCGUAGGCGGUUACUUAAGUAGGGUGUGAAAUGUCCCGGCUCAACCGGGGGAUGGCGCUCUAAACUGGGUGGCUUGAGUGAGAUAGAGGUGUGCGGAACUUCCGGUGGAGCGGUGAAAUGUGUUGAUAUCGGAGGGAACACCAUUGGCGAAAGCGGCACACUGGGUCUCAACUGACGCUGAGGCACGAAAGCCAGGGGAGCAAAC